UACGUAGGGUGCAAGCGUUGUCCGGAAUUAUUGGGCGUAAAGAGCUCGUAGGCGGUCUGUCGCGUCGGCUGUGAAAACCUGGGGCUUAACUCCGGGCCUGCAGCCGAUACGGGCAGACUAGAGUUCGGCAGGGGAGACUGGAAUUCCUGGUGUAGCGGUGGAAUGCGCAGAUAUCAGGAGGAACACCGGUGGCGAAGGCGGGUCUCUGGGCCGACACUGACGCUGAUGCGCGAAAGCCAGGGGAGCGAACGGG
rnacentral:rRNA from 1 species